rnacentral:rRNA from 1 species
GCACGAUAAUAGGGCUUCGGCCCUUGUGGGAGUGGCGCACGGGUGAGUAGCGCGUGGGAACCUGCCCCUUUGUGGGGGAUAACCGAGGGAAACUUCGGCUAAUACCGCAUGCGCCCGGAGUGAUCCGGGGAAAGAUUUAUCGCAGAGGGAGGGGCCCGCGUCGGAUUAGCUGGUUGGUGGGGUAACGGCCUACCAAGGCGAUGAUCCGUAGCUGGUCUGAGAGGAUGAUCAGCCACACUGGGACUGAGACACGGCCCAGACUCCUACGGGAGGCAGCAGUGGGGAAUAUUGGACAAUGGGCGCAAGCCUGAUCCAGCAAUGCCGCGUGAGUGAUGAAGGCCUUAGGGUUGUAAAGCUCUUUCGGCGGGGACGAUGAUGACGGUACCCGCAGAAGAAGCCCCGGCUAACUUCGUG